GACGGAACCGUGCGAACGUUAUUCGGAAUCACGUGGGCUUAAAGGGCGCGUAGGCGGGUUGCCAAGUCUGUGGUGAAAUCCUCCAGCUUAACUGGAGAACGGCCGUGGAUACUGGCGACCUCGAGGGGGUAGGGGCUUGCGGAACUGUGCGUGGAGCGGUGAAAUGCGUUGAUAUGCACAGGAACUCCGGUGACUGGACGAGCGGCGAGCUGGACCCUUUCUGACGCUGAGGCGACGGAAAGCCAGGGGAGGCGAACGGG
rnacentral:rRNA from 1 species